AACCUCCGCAAUGUGAGAAAUCGCGACGGGGGGAUCCCAAGUGCCAUUCUUAACGGGAUGGCUUUUCAUUAGUGUAAAGAGCUUUUGGAAUAAGAGCUGGGCAAGACCGGUGCCAGCCGCCGCGGUAACACCGGCAGCUCUAGUGGUAACAAUUUUUAUUGGGCCUAAAGCGUCCGUAGCCGGUUUAAUAAGUCUCUGGUGAAAUCCUGUAGCUUAACUGUGGGAAUUGCUGGAGAUACUAUUAGACUUGAGACCGGGAGAGGUUAGAGGUACUCCAGGGUAGAGGUGAAAUUCUGUAAUCCUGGGAGGACCGCCUGUUGCGAAGGCGUCUAACUGGAACGGUUCUGACGGUGAGGGACGAAAGUUAGGGCGCGAACCGGAUUAGAUACCCGGGUAGUCCUAACUGUAAACGAUGCGGACUUGGUGUUGGGGUGGCUUUGAGCUGCUCCAGUGCCGAAGGGAAGCUGUUAAGUCCGCCGCCUGGGAAGUACGGUCGCAAGACUGAAACUUAAAGGAAGU
rnacentral:rRNA from 1 species